rnacentral:rRNA from 1 species
CGCGAGCUGGGUUCAAAACGUCGUGAGACAGUUUGGCCUCUAUCCUCCGUGGUCGCAAAGGAACGUGAGGGAAGUUGCUCCUAGUACGAGAGGACCGGAGUGAACGAACCUCUGGUGUACCUGUUGUCGCGUCAGCGGCAUUGCAGGGUAGCUAUGUUCGGAAGGGAUAACCGCUGAAAGCAUCUAAGUGGGAAGCCCCUCCCAAGAUGACGUUCCUCUAUAAGCCCGCCGCAAGACCAGCGGCUAGAUCGGCCACAGGUGUACGCCCCGCAAGGGGUUCAGCCGAGUGGUACGAACGGGCGAUUG